UUCGGGUUGUAAAGCACUUUCAGUAGGGAGGAAGGUAGUGUAGUUAACACCUGCAUUACUUUGACGUUACCUACAGAAGAAGCACCGGCUAACUCCGUGCCAGCAGCCGCGGUAAUACGGAGGGUGCGAGCGUUAAUCGGAAUUACUGGGCGUAAAGCGCAUGCAGGCGGCCUGUUAAGUCAGAUGUGAAAGACCCGGGGCGUUAACCUCGGAAUUGCAUUUGUAAACUGGCAGGCUAGAGUCUUGUAGAGGGGGGUAGGAAUUUCAGGUGUAGCGGUGAAAUAGCGUAGAGAUCUGAAGGAAUACCAGUGGCGAAGGCGGCCCCCUCGGACAAAGACUGACGCUCAGAUGCGAAAGCGUGGGGAGCAAACAGGAUUAGAUACCCCUGGUAG
rnacentral:rRNA from 1 species